rnacentral:sRNA from 1 species
ACGUUCAAGGCCGAAAGCCCUCCAGUUUCCCCUGGACACCUUGCUCCUGCUUCUGCUACGACCUUCUGGGGAACGCGAAUUUCUCAUUUUCUUCUUAAAUUGCCAUUUUCGCUUUAGGAGAUGAAUGUUUUCCUUUGGCUGUUUUGGCAAUGACUCUGAAUUAAAGCGAUGCUAACGCCUGUUCCCCCUAAUUGUUAAAAGCUGUGGACUGCAGAAAGAUGGCCCGCUUCUCUUACAGUGUGAUUUGGAUCAUGGCCAUUUCUAAAGCCUUUGAACUGGGAUUAGUUGCCGGGCUGGGCCAUCAGGAAUUUGCUCGUCCAUCUCGGGGAGACCUGGCCUUCAGAGAUGACAGCAUUUGGCCCCAGGAGGAGCCUGCAAUUCGGCCUCGGUCUUCCCAGCAUGUGCCGCCCAUGGGGAUACAGCACAGUAAGAACUGCCUGGCUUCGAUGCUUCUGCCCUGGCCCUUCAUGUGUCUCCUGAGUAUCUUUCCAACACUCUUUCACCUAAAAGGGCACCUGGUUCUGGAACUGGGCAGGUGCUGGACUGCUUUUGGUUUUGGAAGUGAGACAGGGAUUGUGUAUUUUACUUCCCUAGAGCGCAGUUUUCCUCACCUGAGUCCACUUCACGCUGGGGAACCCCAGAACCACCACUGGCCUAUGCAUGAAAAUGACUUCUCUGCUCAAAGGCGCAGAGUCUUACUCUG